rnacentral:rRNA from 1 species
GACGAACGCUGGCGGCGUGCUUAACACAUGCAAGUCGAACGGAAAGGCCCUGCUUUUGUGGGGUGCUCGAGUGGCGAACGGGUGAGUAACACGUGAGUAACCUGCCCUUGACUUUGGGAUAACUUAAGGAAACUGGGGCUAAUACCGGAUAGGAGCUCCUGCUGCAUGGUGGGGGUUGGAAAGUUUCGGCGGUUGGGGAUGGACUCGCGGCUUAUCAGCUUGUUGGUGGGGUAGUGGCUUACCAAGGCUUUGACGGGUAGCCGGCCUGAGAGGGUGACCGGCCACAUUGGGACUGAGAUACGGCCCAGACUCCUACGGGAGGCAGCAGUGGGGAAUAUUGCACAAUGGGCGGAAGCCUGAGGCAGCAACGCCGCGUGCGGGAUGACGGCCUUCGGGUUGUAAACCGCUUUCGCCUGUGACGAAGCGUGAGUGACGGUAAUGGGUAAAGAAGCACCGGCUAACUACGUG